GGCUACGUAGCUCAGUUGGUUAGAGCACAUCACUCAUAAUGAUGGGGUAACAGGUUCGAAUCCCGUCGUAGCCACCA
rnacentral:tRNA from 3 species